rnacentral:hammerhead_ribozyme from 1 species
AUCUAGCUGACGUGUCUGAAAUAGGACGAAACGCGCGUCCCGGAU